AACCUGCAUCCCAUAUACUUAUUUAUUAUUAUCAAGUAACAAAAUACUAGUCCUAUUAAAAUUGAGUGUAAACAGAAGGGCGUAUCAAAAAAAAAAAAAAAACUUUUUUCUCGGAACCAAGCUCAAAAAUUUCGUUUAGAUGCCAAAAUAGGCCUCUAAAAAUAGGAGACCUUAAUAUAAAUAUUGGAAAUGUCCGCUUCGCACUUUUCGAUUUCCCAUAAGAAUAACACAGGAAAAAAGUUAAUUUCAGUUAAUUUAAGUUCACGAUUUGCCUUUGUGUUAACGCACCUAUGUUUUAAUGUAUUUUAUUGAUGGUAUGUUUGUUUAAAAAGAUAAUGUGUACGUAAAGAAAAUCCUUCAUUAUUUAAAACUUUUUAGUUUAAAAAAAAUCUAGUCAGUCAGGGUAAUUUGAGUGAAGUCUGUCAUUGAGUAAAAGAGUUAAAUUUUGUAUAAUUUAUUAAUACUGUUUAAUUUUUAAUAUAAAUUUUAAAAGGGAUUAGGGGCUUUAAAUGUUGUUUUCUUAUUACUAGAGGUCCCGCAGUAGUCGAAAUUCGACUAUAAUUAAUUGGAAUUAUAUCGUGAUCUUUCCUCGCGUAUCUUCUUAUCGAGAUCCCGGGCCUCCAUUGAUGGCAUCCCAAUGGCCAGAUCCAAUAACCUGCAAAUGGAAUGUUCAUUUUUAUAGCCACAAAUGGCUACGCGACUUUACGGUCGACAUCGUAAGCAGUACCGAAUGGUAUCAGCCACACCGAGGAUACGAAGGAGCGAUAAAAUCAAUUUUAUUUUAAGAUUCUUUAUUCCCUUCCGAAUCAAGACAAUAAACUCUCAUUGAAAUAA